AAAUACUAAUUUAAUUUAAGAGAAAUAAUAACAAUCAAUUUUUUGAACCAAGCCUCUUGUAGGUAGGGGUGAGUUUUGUUUUGUUGGAUUGAAUUUUUUUUUUUUAAAUUUUCAAACUGUACAUAAUAAUGUGGUUUGGUUCAAUUUUCAUAUUAAUUUUGACAUUUGGAUAUUAUUUAGUGAAGUUUCAAAGUCUUUCUCAUAAAUAUCUUUUUUUUAAAUAACUCUUAUAUUGUAUUUUUUAAAUGCUUUUGCAUACACUUUUUGAGUUGUUUUCACUAUUUCAAAUGUAAAAUAUUUGUCUACAUCAUAAAAAAAAUCAAAACUAAUUCUAAAUUAAAUGAAAAACAAAAAAAAAUCAAUUCGAUAACUAC
rnacentral:lncRNA from 1 species